UCCGUGUUAACCACGGCAGUCUCCUUAGAGAGCCCAACUUAAUGCUGGCAACUAAGGACAAGGGUUGCGCUCGUUGCGGGACUUAACCCAACAUGUCACCACACGAGCUGACGACAGCCAUGCAGCACCUGUCUUCCUGUGAUAUUUCUAUCAAAACCGUAUCUCUACGGGUGUCAGGAGAUGUCAAACCCAGGUAAGGUUCUUCGCGUUGCUUCGAAUUAAACCACAUGAUCCACCGCUUGUGCGGGCCCCCGUCAAUUCCUUUGAGUUUUAGUCUUGCGACCGUACUUCCCAGGCGGGGUACUUAUUGCGUUAGCGCCGGUUCGGCGGGGGUCAAGACCCACCAAACCUAGUACCCAUCGUUUACAGCGUGGACUAC
rnacentral:misc_RNA from 1 species